GAUGAACGCUGGCGGCGUGCUUAACACAUGCAAGUCGAACGGGAAACCUUUUAUUGAUGCUUCGUCAGAUUUGGCUGGUUUCUAGUGGCGGACGGGUGAGUAACGCGUGGGUAACCUGCCCUAUACAGGGGGAUAACAACCAGAAAUGGUUGCUAAUACCGCAUAAGCGCACCGGGCCGCAUGGUCCGGUGUGAAAAACUCCGGUGGUAUAGGAUGGACCCGCGUUGGAUGAGCCAGUUGGCAGGGUAACGGCCUACCAAAGCGACGAUCCAUAGCCGGCCUGAGAGAGUGGACGCCGACACUUGGAGUGAGACACAGUGCGGACUCCUGCGGGAGGCGGGCGUGCGGGAUAUAGCAAAGUGGCGUAAACCCUGAUGCAGCGACGCCGCGUGAAGGAAGAAGUCUCGCGGGAAGUAAACUUCGAUAAGCAGGGAAGAUAGUGACGGUACCUGACUAAGAAGCCCCGGCUAACUCCGUG
rnacentral:rRNA from 1 species